GGGGAAGUCGUCAGAUUGCAAGAGGAAGCAGAGAGGAAAUUAGUUGUGAAGGUGAACUCCUUCAGGAAGACAGACAAAGCCCUGGGAUCAUCGAGUUCUAAGUUGAGGCGAGUCAAAUAGCGGUUAACAGAUGCUCAUGGUAAGUUAGCUGGUUGGCAAGAGCAAUUGGAUACAUUUUCAGCUUCUAGGAAGGUAAAGGAGGAGGAGAUGGUGGCCGAAUUG
rnacentral:lncRNA from 1 species